AUGUCAGGAGGAUCGGAUGUAUCUUCACCAUUAUCGGGACGAAUUAGCACGAGUUCUUUGUCAGACUUGAAGGACUUGGAGUUUUCUUCAGAGUCUGGCUGCUUGUCCAUUGUUGUACUAGGUGCUUCUGGAGACCUUGCUAAAAAGAAAACUUUUCCAGCACUCUUCAACCUUUUUCAACAGGGAUUUAUACAAUCUGGAGAAGUCCAUAUAUUUGGGUAUGCAAGAUCAGAUAUGUCCGAUGAAGGGUUAAGAGAACGCAUUCGUGGAUAUCUCAAAGGAGCUUCAGAUGAACAUCUUUCACAAUUUUUGCAAUUAAUUAAGUAUGUUAGUGGUUCAUAUGAUAAUGGGGCAGGAUUUGAAUUGCUAAACAAGACAAUAUCUGAGAAUGAGACAUCAGAGAACAACCAACCAGGAAACUCCCGUAGACUAUUUUAUUUGGCAUUACCUCCUUCAGUGUACCCCUCAGUAUGCAAAAUGAUAAGAUCAUGUUGCAUGACUCCAUCCUCUCAUACUGGUUGGACAAGGGUUAUUGUUGAAAAGCCCUUCGGAAAGGAUUUAGACUCUGCUGAGGAAUUGAGUGCCCAACUUGGAGAGCUUUUCGAUGAAGAACAACUAUAUAGAAUUGACCACUAUUUAGGAAAGGAGUUGGUCCAAAACUUGCUCGUGCUUCGCUUUGCAAAUCGCUUUUUUCUGCCCCUCUGGAAUCGUGAUAACAUUGAUAACGUACAGAUUGUAUUCCGGGAGGACUUCGGAACUGAUGGACGUGGAGGAUAUUUUGAUCAAUAUGGUAUCAUUCGGGAUAUCAUUCAGAACCAUUUGCUGCAGGUCUUUUGUUUGGUAGCCAUGGAAAAGCCUGUCUCUCUUAGUCCUGAGCACAUAAGAGAUGAGAAAGUCAAGGUUCUGCAAUCAGUGAGCUGUAUAAACCAUGACGAGGUAGUCCUUGGGCAAUAUGAUGGCUACAAGGAUGAUCCGACAGUGCCAAAUGAAUCCAACACGCCUACUUUUGCGUCCGUUGUACUGAGGGUACACAAUGAGAGAUGGGAUGGAGUUCCUUUCGUCCUUAAGGCUGGUAAAGCACUAAGCUCUAAGAAAGCAGAGAUACGUGUGCAGUUCAAGGAUGCUCCGGGCGAUAUUUUUAGAUGCAAGAAACAAGGAAGAAAUGAAUUUGUCAUACGCCUGCAGCCAUCGGAAGCCAUGUAUAUGAAAUUAACUGUAAAGAAACCAGGGCUCGAAAUGGCAACAGAACAGAGCGAACUGGAUUUAUCCUAUGGGCUACGGUACCAAGAUGUAAAAAUCCCAGAAGCGUACGAGCGUCUUAUCUUGGACACGAUAAGAGGUGACCAGCAGCACUUUGUUCGCCGAGAUGAGCUCAAGGCUGCCUGGGAGAUCUUCACUCCUUUGUUGCACGACAUCGAUGCUGGCAGGCUCAAGGCUCUGCCAUACCAACCGGGAACCCGGGGUCCUCCAGAGGCCGAUGAGUUGAGCAAGAGGAUGGGGUACGUGCCGACUCUUGGCUAUGUUUGGGCACCGCCAACCCUUGCAAAGUUUUAG
rnacentral:rRNA from 1 species